rnacentral:rRNA from 1 species
AACGUAGGAGCCAAGCGUUAUCCGAAUUCACUGGGCGUAAAGCGCGUGCAGGCGGCCGGAUAAGUUGGCUGUGAAAUCUCCUGGCUCAACUGGGAGAGGCCGGUCAAGACUAUUUGGCUCGAGGACGGUAGAGGAAGGUAGAAUUCCCGGUGUAGUGGUGAAAUGCGUAGAUAUCGGGAGGAAUACCUGUGGCGAAAGCGGCCUUCUGGGCCGGACCUGACGCUGAAGCGCGAAAGCCAGGGGAGCAAACGGG